UACAGAGGUCUCAAGCGUUGUUCGGAUUCAUUGGGCGUAAAGGGCGCGUAGGCGGCUUGGCAAGUGGAAGGUGAAAUCCCUCCGGCUUAACCGAGGAACUGCCUUCCAGACUGCUUUGCUUGAGUCCGGAAGAGGCGAGUGGAAUUCCCGGUGUAGCGGUGAAAUGCGCAGAUAUCGGGAGGAACACCAAUGGCGAAGGCAGCUCGCUGGGACGUGACUGACGCUGAGACGCGAAAGCGUGGGGAGCAAACAGGG
rnacentral:rRNA from 1 species